UACGUAGGGCGCAAGCGUUGUCCGGAAUUAUUGGGCGUAAAGAGCUCGUAGGCGGCUUGUCACGUCGGGUGUGAAAGCCCGGGGCUUAACCCCGGGUCUGCAUUCGAUACGGGCUAGCUAGAGUGUGGUAGGGGAGAUCGGAAUUCCUGGUGUAGCGGUGAAAUGCGCAGAUAUCAGGAGGAACACCCGUGGCGAAGGCGGUUCUCUGGGACGGUACUGACGCUGAGACGCGAAAGCGUGGGGAGCGAACAGG
rnacentral:rRNA from 1 species